AAAAAUAAAAAUUUAAAAAUAAAAAUUGCAUUUUGACCCCUAAACUUUUCCUAAAUUUCAUUUUGACCCUUAAACUUUCUUUAAAUUUCACUUAGACCCCUAAACUUUCAUUAAAUUUCAUUUUAAUCCUAAAUUUUCUAAAAAUUACAUUUAGCCCCAGAAGUUUUGCUGCAUUUGUGAUUUGAUCCUUCAGACAGGUUACGUGAUUUGGGGCACCCACUUCCCAGAUUUUCAGGCCACAAACAUGGGUGGCUGCUCCUUCUUCACCUACCACCUGCAAAAAGGAAACAAAUAUCAACUAUAAAAUGGGUUUAAAACCCCAAAAUCAAACCCACACCCACGAAAAAAAUAAAAAAAAACUUGCAAAAAGAGAGAUUUUUUCGAAGGAAAAAAGAAGAAAAGAGAAAGAGGAGAAGAAAAGAAAGAGUACCGGCGUCGGAGGAGGUAGCGGCGGCGCAAGCGGUGGUGGAGGCUAGACUUUGAAGAAGAAGAAGGAAGAAGAAGGAAGAAGAAAAGAGGAAGAAGAAAGAAAGAAAAAAGAAAAAGAAAAGAAAUAAUAAAAAAUAUUAUAACAGUCGGGUCAACCCGACCUGACCCACCUACGACCCGAUCCGACCCAGCAGCCCAAGAAAAAACAACAAAAAAAAAAGAAACAAGCCCAAAAAAAAAACCAAAGCAAAAAAAAAGCAGCAAAAAAGAAGAAGAAAGAAGCAGAAAAAAGAAGAAGAAAGAAGCAGCCCAAAUGCAGGCCCAGCGCAGCAGCAGGCCCAGCAGGCCCAAAGGCCCAGCGCAGUAGCAGACCACCCACACCAGCAGGCCAGGCCCAAGCCAGCAGCCCAACCGGCCAGCCCAGCAAA
rnacentral:lncRNA from 1 species